CUCUCUCUCUCUCACACACACACACACAAUCACCACCAAAUCUCACCUCACCUCACCUCACCUCAGGCGCUUACCACCGGGAAGCAUUCGACGUUGCACAUUGCCACCGUCACAAAUCGCCACCGUUGCAAAUCACCACCGCCACUGCCGCAAUACCAGAUGACUUUGUUGCGUGGACUUCCAGAGAUAUGUUGGUGUAUGGAGAAGAAAUUGUGCUUUUGUAUAGAAGUAAUAUAAUACUUUUGUUGUCUCCGGCUUUUGUGCAGUUAACUAUUACUGAUACAGAAAACUUUUGGCAGUGAACAGAUAAUUAGUGGCAUGGUAGAUAGAUCACAUUUUGUCGCCGUACAGAUAUAUGAUUUUUUGUCGUGGUACAUAGAUGUACUUUUGGCUUGGUACAUACAUCACCUUUUGUCGUGAUAUAGAUUACGAUGGUAAUUUGUACAAUGCCAAAUGGUCAUUUCACAUGAUAUAGUAAAUAUGUAAUUUUUGUAUAUGGAGGGCUUUACUUUUUGUAUGAUUCUAUAUGUUGUAUGGAAUUAUUAUUUUUGUUUGGACAAUGGUUGGUUUGUAUGUAUUUGGACAGUUAAAGUAAUUUAUUUUUUGUAUACGGAUGCAGAUUGUGGAAUGAUUGAUAGUUUA